AAAGUGCGUAUUCUGUCAAUCACUUGGUCAUUUCGGCUUGUGGAUGGCCUACCAGAACUUGCUUCACUCUCCACUGAUGGGUCGCUCAUUUUUGAAGUGGUUAUGCCACUCGUUUAUUUGUGUUAUGCUUAUGACAUCAUCGCCCAAAGCCUGCUGAAUCUUGGGUAUCACCAAGCUUUUGGCCAAACUUGAUGCAAUACCUUUGCUCAAGUCAUAACGUCAUAAAAUAAGGUCAGAUAUUUUUUGAAUGCAAGUCAUACACGUAUUAAAGUAUAAACAAAUAUAUAAAAAGGUAAAACAUAAAUGCAUUUAUACAUUUAUGUAUUUAUUUGUCUUAAUUCAUGUUUGGUUCUCCAUACUGCCAGAGGAAACCAUAUCUGGACUUUCAUAUACUCUGACCUGGAGAGGUGGCUGUCAGUACUAGUACCAGAUCCAUACCACCUGCCAGAUCAGUUCUACGUGUGCGCACAGAUGGUUUUGGAUUAGCAACGUUGCCUUAAUGAGUAUUUCUUAGCAAAACAGAAUCUUGCUGUAAACCACUUAAACAUAAAGUAUGUAGUUGUUUCAACUGGCUGUUAAAUUUUUCAAAUGUGUGCAUGUGCAGAGCAGAUCUGGCAGGCGGUACAGAUCCUUACAGUGGGCAUUCUAGUGAGGGGGCGAGGCAACCAGCAGCCCCUUUCCAGGCACAUUAAUGGAUCAGCUGGUCUGAAGCUGUAUUUACGACACCUGGUGACUUGUGUUAUCUUGUGACACAUUGCAUGAAUUUUCAGUUGAGCCCAUCAAAACACUGAUGAUUACACGCUUGGACAGCAUAUACUUGAAAAACCUAUUCAGUGAAAA